rnacentral:rRNA from 1 species
UACAGAGGUCUCAACCGUUGUUCGGAUUCAUUGGGCGUAAAGCGUGCGCAGGCGGUUGUGCAAGACAGAUGUGAAAUCCCCGGGCUCAACCUGGGAACUGCAUUUGUGACUGCACGGCUGGAGUGCGGCAGAGGGGGAUGGAAUUCCGCGUGUAGCAGUGAAAUGCGUAGAUAUGCGGAGGAACACCGAUGGCGAAGGCAAUCCCCUGGGCCUGCACUGACGCUCAUGCACGAAAGCGUGGGGAGCAAACAGG